GGAUUAGCGGCGAACGGGUGAGGAACACGUGAAGAAUCUGCCCUCCACUUUGGGAUAACACCGGGAAACCGGUGCUAAUACCGAAUAUUGAAACAUAAGUGGCAUCACUGAGUUUUGAAAGAAUUUCGGUGGAGGAUGACUUCGCGGCCUAUCAGCUAGUUGGUGAGGUAAUGGCUCACCAAGGCAACGACGGGUAGCCGGCCUGAGAGGGCGACCGGCCACACUGGGACUGAGACACGGCCCAGACUCCUACGGGAGGCAGCAGUGGGGAAUAUUGGGCAAUGGAGGAAACUCUGACCCAGCGACGCCGCGUGCGGGAUGAAGGCCUUCGGGUUGUAAACCGCUUUCAGUAGGGAAGAAGCGAAAGUGACGGUACCUACAAAAGAAGCACCGGCUAACUAUGUGCCAGCAGCCGCGGUAAUACAUAGGGUGCAAGCGUUGUCCGGAAUUAUUGGGCGUAAAGAGCUCGUAGGUCGUUUGUCACGU
rnacentral:rRNA from 1 species